GUUCAAACUUGGCACAGAGGAACAAGUGGUGAAAGAAGGCGCAGGGGCGGCAGAGGUGAAGAGUGGCGCUAGGGGAAUACGACUUUCUCCUCAUACCAGCCAAUAGAAAGGGUUGAAGGCCAUGACAACAUAUAACCUUGGUCGUAUGGGAAUCAGUUGAGCAUUGGGGUGGCUGAUGGGGACACUAUAGCAGCUAGGACUCUAAAAGAAGGGUAACCAGGCACCUCGAGUAGACCUUGAGCAUCAAGAUUCAGAGCUCGAUGUGAUAUUGGGGUGUUUGUAGCGAUGUGCGAUAGGAUCAGAGCAUAGGGGUGAUGAUUCGUGAAGGAUAAGAAUUCUAAAGCCUUUACUAUUUUCAAUAGUAUUAAUAAGGCAAUAGCAGCCAGCAGCAAUAAGGAUGUGGAAGAUUAUGGCAUGCAUGAUUAAGUCAUCC